rnacentral:rRNA from 1 species
GACGAACGCUGGCGGCGUGCUUAACACAUGCAAGUCGAACGGAAAGGCCCUGCUUUUGUGGGGUGCUCGAGUGGCGAACGGGUGAGUAACACGUGAGUAACCUGCCCUUGACUUUGGGAUAACUUCAGGAAACUGGGGCUAAUACCGGAUAGGAGCUCCUGCUGCAUGGUGGGGGUUGGAAAGUUUCGGCGGUUGGGGAUGGACUCGCGGCUUAUCAGCUUGUUGGUGGGGUAGUGGCUUACCAAGGCUUUGACGGGUAGCCGGCCUGAGAGGGUGACCGGCCAAAUUGGGACUGAGAUACGGCCCCGACUCCUACGGGAGGCAGCAGUGGGGAAUAUUGCACAAUGGGCGGAAGCCUGAUGCAGCAACGCCGCGUGCGGGAUGACGGCCUUCGGGUUGUAAACCGCUUUCGCCUGUGACGAAGCGUGAGUGACGGUAAUGGGUAAAGAAGCACCGGCUAACUACGUG